UGGUGCGCUUGCCCACGCAUGCGCAGUGGCGCAGCCGGCGGGACGUGCCUCGGCUAGCGUGGCCGGGCCCCACGCGUGGCGUGGGACCUGCCCGCCGCCCGCCUCCGCGGUGGGAGUUUUAAGGCGCGUUUGGCAGCUGGAGUGCGUGGCGUCUGUCGGGAAAGCCGGGAGCUUUGUUCUGCCUCUCUCGAGGGCACUUCGCCUUUUUAAAGGGAAAACCAACUCUGUCCAUAUUUUCUUUGCCUCAACUAUCCUUUUGCAUCUCACCUUCUCUUAUACCUCGUGAAGACAGAACAGAUCCUCGAGAAGAUCAGGACAGAGCCAGACACGUGUGAUAUUGCCACUUGGAGAUCCGAGUGAACUCUGAAUUAGGAAACCUGCCAUUUCAUUUGUUCUCUACCUUCCCUACAACAUGAUGCACACCAGCCCUUCUGCUUUUCCUCUUGCUGUGUGCCCUCACGGAUACAUAAUCCUCAUGGUUCAAAACCAUAUAAAGAAAAUGUAGUUUGAAAGGGUUUACUACCACAGGUUUGGGUUAACUUUGAUCAUUUCAGUGCCACAAUGGGAUUAGAAACCUAGAAAGAAAGAGAUUUAUGAAAAGACUCCUCAAAGCUUCUGGCUUGGUAAGUGUUUCUAAUGGUUAUGGGGAGCGACUGAAUUUAUUUUAACUCACACAUGUACUCACACCCUCACAUAAACGCACCAACAAAUCCUGAGGUUGCUCUUUGUAAACUUUUUUAGAUUGCAUUUCUCUUCCUCGCUGACCCUUUCAUGUAAUGAUAUUGUUGGGUAUUUUCUUUUUUUCUCCCUGAGUUGAUAUCAGCAAAACUCAAAUUACUGUAACUGAUAUUUGAAAAUUCUCCCUGUGUCAAGUGAAGACUUAUGGUGCUGAAAUCAAUAAGACUGUUUAAAAUUCAAAGACCUGCAAAUCGUUCUGUUUGUCCUUUGAUAGGGCCUGGGCUGAUUAAAAUGCGACCAAGAAAGCUUAAUUGCUGCACUAAUUAAGAAGUCUUUAAUUUCUUUCCUGAAAUAUUGUUUGAAGCAGGGUUUCUGUUCUGUUCAUGUCACUGUUCAGGGCAGGUAUUCUUUCUGUUUCUCUCUUUUUUUUUUUCUUUUGACCAUUUUGGUAUAUUAAAAUGUGUGUUAAAGCAGUAAGAGGUAUUGACAGUGAUUGUAAUUUAUUGCUCUAAAAAAAGACUGUUAUGGACUUCACUAUUUUAUUAAAUUUCAAUUUUGAGGGCAGCUGUAAAGGGUAAAAUGCAAUUAGAAAAUGCAUUGUAGCUGUUGCAUUUUAAGGAAUCUGAAUACCUGACUGACAUGAGAUAGGAUAGUACAUCAGCUCCCUCCCCCUUCUUCAGUUAUUAUUGAUAAUUAAAUAUUUAAAUUCAUUCAGAAAAAACAGUAAAGUAUUAAUCUUCUGAACGUGUGUGAAGGAAUGGACCGGGGGGAGGGGAAGCAUACAGAAGAUAGGCACCUGGUAAGGAUGAAUAGUGUAUUACCCUGUUAAGUUCAUCCACAAUAUUUUUUUCUGCAUUUCUUUUGAAUUUAUUUUCCUGAGAAAUACCUUGUCUGUCUUGUAUUUUGUCUUAUCCUUGUCUAGUGAUCUAUUUUGUUCACCAGUUUCUGAAGAGAAGAAACUAAAUGAUUUCACAAAGCUUUCUGUGUGAUCAAUAGAGUAACGUUUUAGGUUUAAUCACACUGCAUUAUAAUUCUGGCAAACGACCACCGAGCAGAAGAUUCUAAGAAAGGAGCAAGUACUGGCAAAGAGAAGGUAAGUUCUGUUUUGCUUUUAAUCUCCAGGGUCUCGAGCAGCAAUCCUCCUUUCAGGAGCUAUCUGUUAUUUAGAGGGAAGACUGAGAAAGAGGGAGGGACCUUAUACCGAAUCCCCCCCGCAUCGCUCAGGAAAAUAGACUCAUAGAAAUGUAAGUCUGUGAAUUGGGAUUCUUUUUCUUCCCCUUCCACCAAGAUACUUACUAAACAUUGAAAACACGAUGAAUACAGUUGAGAUUGAAGUGUUGUACCAGUAAUAAAAAACUGGAUGCUGCAGUGCUGUUUUUCUAAUUGUUGCAUUGUAGUCAAACUAGCACAGACCUUGUCCAAUACAAAUACAAACUGGAUUCCUUUCAGUGACAGGACAAGUAGAUAACAUGCUUAAUAGAUACAAAGGGAGAUUUACCAUUCCAAGCACGAUGUCACGCUAAUUAUGUUUACUCUAAUUGAAAGCAAGGUUUGGGGGAACCUGAAAGUACUCAUAGGAUAUUUUUAAUAACUGAAUAAUAAUAAAGUGCAGCAAACGUUGAUCACAAA